rnacentral:rRNA from 1 species
CCGAGUUUACAACUCCCAAACCCAAUGUGAACGUUACCAAACUGUUGCCUCGGCGGGGUCACGCCCCGGGUGCGUCGCAGCCCCGGAACCAGGCGCCCGCCGGAGGAACCAACCAAACUCUUUCUGUAGUCCCCUCGCGGACGUAUUUCUUACAGCUCUGAGCAAAAAUUCAAAAUGAAUCAAAACUUUCAACAACGGAUCUCUUGGUUCUGGCAUCGAUGAAGAACGCAGCGAAAUGCGAUAAGUAAUGUGAAUUGCAGAAUUCAGUGAAUCAUCGAAUCUUUGAACGCACAUUGCGCCCGCCAGUAUUCUGGCGGGCAUGCCUGUCCGAGCGUCAUUUCAACCCUCGAACCCCUCCGGGGGAUCGGCGUUGGGGAUCGGGACCCCUCACACGGGUGCCGGCCCCGAAAUACAGUGGCGGUCUCGCCGCAGCCUCUCCUGCGCAGUAGUUUGCACAACUCGCACCGGGAGCGCGGCGCGUCCACGUCCGUAAAACACCCAACUUUCUGAAAUGUUGACCUCGGAUCAGGUAGGAAUACCCGCUGAACUUAAGCAUAUCAA